rnacentral:lncRNA from 1 species
UACACGGCUUGCAUAUCAGAAUAAUCUCUGGUUAACAUAACAACUGUGAAUCAGCUAGUUUUUCAGAUCAAUCUAUCUAACCAAGCUUUGGUCGGAAAACUAUCAGUCUCAACUCCUAGUCGGCAUACCACACUCUUUGAUCUCUCCUUGGAAGCAGAUUGAUCAGGCUCAAAUUCAAAAAGCAGGCGCUAACUGGCCAUAGCUAUUAAUACUAUCUUGGUGUAACUAUCUGAUCCUAAGAAUCUUUUAGGUGUAACCGUCUGAUCCUGAGAAUCACAACCAAAUAAUCACACCAGAUUCAGCCAGUCUAUCUAC